GAGUUUGAUCGUGGCUCAGGACGAACGCUGGCGGAGUGCUUAAUACAUGCAAGUCGAACGAGAUCCAUUCCAGCUUGCUGGAGGAAGAUCUAGUGGCGAACGGGUGAGGAACACGUGAGAAACUUGCCUCAGAGAGAGGGACAACAGUGGGAAACCAUUGCUAAUACCUCAUGUUGAUUACGAAUCGCAUGAUUUGUAAUUGAAAUGAAUUUCGCUCUGAGAGAGUCUCGCGGCCUAUCAGCUUGUUGGUGGGGUAACGGCCUACCAAGGCUUCGACGGGUAGCUGGUCUGAGAGGACGAUCAGCCACAUUGGGACUGAGACACGGCCCAGACUCCUACGGGAGGCAGCAGUAGGGAAUCUUGCGCAAUGGGCGAAAGCCUGACGCAGCAACUCCGCGUGUGGGAUGACGGCCUCGGUUGUAA
rnacentral:rRNA from 1 species